CCCGCACAAGCGGUGGAGCAUGUGGUUUAAUUCGACGCAACGCGAAGAACCUUACCUGGGCUUGACAUCCCGAUCGUACCUGCUGGAAACAGCGGGGUCAGUUCGGCUGGAUCGGAGACAGGUGCUGCAUGGCUGUCGUCAGCUCGUGCCGUGAGAUGUUGGGUUAAGUCCCGCAACGAGCGCAACCCUUGUCCUUAGUUGCCAUCAUUUAGUUGGGCACUCUAAGGAGACUGCCGGUGUUAAACCGGAGGAAGUGGGGAUGACGUCAAGUCCUCAUGGCCCUUAUGUCCAGGGCUACACACGUGCUACAAUGGCCGGUACAAAGGGCAGCAAAGCCGCGAGGUGGAGCCAAUCCCAGAAAGCCGGUCUCAGUUCGGAUUGGAGUCUGCAACUCGACUCCAUGAAGUUGGAAUCGCUAGUAAUCGCGGAUCAGCAUGCCGCGGUGAAUACGUUCCCGGGCCUU
rnacentral:rRNA from 1 species